GACGAACGCUGGCGGCGUGCCUAAUACAUGCAAGUCGAACGCAGUGGGGACGGGUGAGUAACACGUGGGUAACCUCCCAUCAGAGGGGAUAACACUUGGAAACAGGUGCUAAACCGAUACUGAUGGAUGGACCCGCGGUGCAUUAGCUAGUUGGCGGGGUAACGGCGCACCAAGGCCACGAUGCAUAGCCGACCUGAGAGUGUGAUCGGCCCCACUGGGACGGAGACGCGGCCCGGACUCCUACGGGAGGCAGCCGUAGGGAAUCAUCGGCGAUAGACGAAAGGCUGACCGGGCAACGCCGCGUGAAUGAAGGGGGUUUUCGGAUCGUAAAACUCUGUUGUUAGAGAAGCGGUAUCUAACCAGAAGGCCACGGCUAACUACGUGCCAGCAGCCGCGGUAAUAC
rnacentral:rRNA from 1 species